rnacentral:rRNA from 1 species
ACGGGGGGAGCAAACGUUGUUCGGAAUCACUGGGCGUAAAGGGCGCGUAGGCGGCCUUCUAAGUCGAACGUGAAAUCCCCGGGCUCAACCCGGGAACUGCGUCCGAUACUGGAAGGCUUGAAUUCGGGAGAGGGAUGCGGAAUUCCAGGUGUAGCGGUGAAAUGCGUAGAUAUCUGGAGGAACACCGGUGGCGAAGGCGGCAUCCUGGACCGGCAUUGACGCUGAGGAGCGAAAGCCAGGGGAGCAAACGGGA